UGUUGCCUCACCUUGGUAAGACUA
rnacentral:rRNA from 1 species